AUUGAACGCUGGCGGCAGGCUUAACACAUGCAAGUCGAGCGGGGAGAUGUAGCUUGCUACAUAUCCUAGCGGCGGACGGGUGAGUAAUGCUUAGGAAUCUGCCUAUUAGUGGGGGACAACAUUCCGAAAGGAAUGCUAAUACCGCAUACGUCCUACGGGGGAAAGCAGGGGAUCUUCGGACCUUGCGCUAAUAGAUGAGCCUAAGUCGGAUUAGCUAGUUGGUGGGGUAAAGGCCUACCAAGGCGACGAUCUGUAGCGGGUCUGAGAGGAUGAUCCGCCACACUGGGACUGAGACACGGCCCAGACUCCUACGGGAGGCAGCAGUGGGGAAUAUUGGACAAUGGGCGCAAGCCUGAUCCAGCCAUGCCGCGUGUGUGAAGAAGGCCUUUUGGUUGUAAAGCACUUUAAGCGAGGAGGAGGCUCCUUUAGUUAAUACCUAAAGAGAGUGGACGUUACUCGCAGAAUAAGCACCGGCUAACUCUGUG
rnacentral:rRNA from 1 species